UAUCUUGUAGACUAAUAGGUAAGUCAUAAAUUUUUGGUAUUUACUAUUGAGUGUUCGAAUCACUCCAAGAUAA
rnacentral:tRNA from 1 species